CGCUCAGUGCGUGGAUGCAGGAGAGAUUCAAGCAGCCUGAGUGCCCAGUCGGCAACAGAUGUGUGCCUGGUCUUUCUCACCCUUUUGCAUGGAUUGAAAGCGGGAGGAUGAAGCUACUCUGAUGGAGGUGUCCCCAUGUCUGAGUCUCAGAGAGGAGAGAAGACUCCACGACCACACACCUCACUCUGUGGCUCCUAAAUCCGGGCUCCGGGUCUUCGUUCGCGCCUCGUCACUCUGGAGACUCUGCGGGCGGCUUGCGGUUGCCGUAGGAACCUCGCCAGGGCCUCCGCGCGGCGCACGACUCCACGCGCGAAGAGUCGCGUUUUGGUCACCGAAAGACACCUGUCGCCAGCGGCGAGGGGCGGGGGCGUCGCGGCCCGGGUUAUUAUGCUUUCUUUUUAAUUGAGGUGUAACUUACAAACAGUACAACGUACAUCUUAAGAGUACAGCUCUGUGGAGCGCGUUGGCGCAAGCCUGUAAUCCGGCACUUUGGGAGGUCAAGGCGGGAGGCUCCCUUGAGUCCAAGAGUUCGAGACCAGCCUGGGCAACGUAGCGACAGCCUGUCUCUUAGAAAAAAAUAACAGUGUAGUGGCAUGCACCUGUAGCCCCAGCUACUUGGGAGGCUGAGGCGGGAGGAUGGCUUGAGCCCAGGAGUUCGAGGCUGCAGGGAGCAGUGAUUACUGUCACUGCACUCCUCCUCCAGCCUGAGCAACAAAGCAAGACUCUGCCUUUUAAAAAAAUUAAAAGAAAAAAAAAAACACACACACAGUGCUAGAAAAAAUAAAAAUAAAUAAAAAGAAGAAGACCAGGCGCAGUGACUCACGCCUAUAAUCCCAGCACUUUGGGAGGCCAAGGCGGAUGGAUCACGAAGUUAGGUGUUCUAGACCAGCCUGGCCAAUAUGGUGAAACCCUGUCUCUACUAAAAAUACAAAAAAAUUAGCUGGGCAUGGUAGUGUGCACCUGUAAUCACAGCUACUCGGGAGCCUGAGGCAGGGGAAUCACUUGAACCCAGGAGGUUGAGGUUGCAGUGAACUGAGAUCAUGCCACUGCACUCCAGGCUGGGUGACAGAGCAAGAAUCUGUCUCACCAAAAAAAAAAAAAAAGGUACAGCUUGAUCAAUUUUUCAUACCUACUUAUAAAACCCGUGUUACCACUAUGGUGAUCAAGACAUGAAGACUUCCAGGUCCUAGAAGUCUCACAUCUCCAGGAAUAAACCAGUGAGGGGGAGGUCACCAUCCUAAACCCUGGAGUUGUGUGCUUUUGCCCCUCUCUGCUCUG